GACGAACGCUGGCGGCGUGCUUAACACAUGCAAGUCGAACGGUAAGGCUCCAGCUUGCUGGGGUACACGAGUGGCGAACGGGUGAGUAACACGUGGGUGACCUGCCCUGCACUUCGGGAUAAGCCUGGGAAACUGGGUCUAAUACCGGAUAGGACCGCACCGUGAGGGUGUGGUGGAAAGUUUUUUCGGUGUGGGAUGGGCCCGCGGCCUAUCAGCUUGUUGGUGGGGUAAUGGCCUACCAAGGCGGCGACGGGUAGCCGGCCUGAGAGGGUGGACGGCCACAUUGGGACUGAGACACGGCCCAGACUCCUACGGGAGGCAGCAGUGGGGAAUAUUGCACAAUGGGCGGAAGCCUGAUGCAGCGACGCCGCGUGGGGGAUGACGGCCUUCGGGUUGUAAACUCCUUUCACCAUCGACGAAGGGUUUCUGACGGUAGAUGGAGAAGAGGCACCGGCUAACUACGUG
rnacentral:rRNA from 1 species